CUUUCAUCGCUGCCAUCACCACAGUUGUUGUAACCAUCACACACGAAGCUGAUGGAGAUGCACGUCUUGUUACUGCACUGGAACUCAUCAGGAGAACAAGCUUGGGAAAAAAAACCAAAACAGAAAUAAAACGAGCUGCUAAUCCUACUGAUCAGCACGUGGCUGUAUGAUUUCUUCAAGUGAUGAAUAAGAUGGAGCUACCAAAUGGAAAACUGAGCUAAAAUCCACAGGGCAUGCAAGGAUAAAGCAAAGUCUGCAGCUUCCAGGCACUUGGGGACUUGCUCAAAUGGGCAGCAGAAGAGGAAAGCUGCUUACAAUCCCUGCACACCGAUGCAAGAGCCAACAUUUUCCUUGGGACCUCCUCUGCACCGUCUGAAGAACCUAAUAAAAAGCAGUGCUAAAAUUACCUUACAUAGGCAGCUGGAGAGAUGAGGAUGGGGGAAGUAAAGUCCCAGGGACAGCUUGCUUCACAUCUCCUUUCAUAAAUCUGUCAAGGUACUGGGGCAGUCCCAUCACUACAGCAUUUCACUGCCUCCAGAGCAUUUUGAUAGAAAUGUCUUGAAUAAUAAUUAAAUGAGCACCAGGGUAUCUUUUCUUUGACGUGAGCAAUUUGCUUAUAUUCUCUGGUUCUGCUACCUGUCCUAUUAAGAGUAUGUCUGUAUGAAACAGAGGAUACAAAUAUUAGCCUUCCUCACUGCCAAAGAAAUUAAUAAAUGUCAUACCCUCAGAUGCAAAGUCUCCUUCAAGUAUGAAGUGAUCCCAGUAGAAAUACUAGAAACGUUUGGCAAGAAGAAGAGUUUAACUCACUGGCUUCAAAGCAGUAAAUAAGCAUAAUUACAAAAGCCAUUUUGUAGGGUACAACAAUCCAUUAAGAUUCUUCAGGUGAUUUAGGAAGAAAACAUCACAUCUCAAUGAAUGCACACUUGCUUUGGCUUAUAGAGAACGUAUAGCAGAGGUACUCUGCAUUAGUUGCUGCCCUGUGCUAUAGUGCAACUGGCACAGCUUUUGCUGGGCAGCCCCCAGCUGCAGCCCUGUCACAUCUCCUGGAGAGUGGAGCAGCAGCAGCCUUUGGGUGGAGGAAGAAAAGAGGCUGUGGUUGUGCAGUUGUGUUUUGGUUCUGUUUCUCUGCCCUGAGCCAGGAUUUAAGCAGAGGCUUUAAUGAGCGCUCCAGUACAGCAGCGACAAUCCUAGCUCACCAAAAAACGGAGAUAACUCUACCAGAAGCUUUUAAAGUGCUUAUAAAGAAAAGCAAAAUGCUGUAAAGACACAGGGCACACUUUAAGAACUGUAAUUUCAAAUAUAUCUCUGUAAUUCUACAAAGCGGAUCCUCAAAUCUGGAUAAAACUCCAUGUGUGACAUAAGCAGGAUAUCCAUCAUUAGUAGGAGCUGGGAAUGGUGUACAAUGGACUGCUUCCGCUGCUAGCUUAAAUUAAGGAUUUGAAGCUUUUCAGUAAGAAUUUGAUAUUUUAAUACACUUUUUUUUUGUCAAAAAAAAAGCAACUUAGCUCCUCUUGAAAUUAUACACGACUUGGAGAAAUAGAACUAUUUGGUAAAGUUUGUGGCAAAGCGGAUGACAGCAAUUACUGACACCAAAGAGAAGAAAAUAAGACAGAUGGUGGCACUGCAGCUUUCCCACACCCUUCCUGAGGCAACCAAAAAGAAACACAGUUCUUGUUUGCUUAAAUCCAACAGCGGAUUUUCUCAGGAAGGCAAGGGGUGAUUUGCACACACUAACAUUCGCAGUGGGGAAAGAGAGAUCUGCUGCUGAUUUAUCACAACUUGAACACUGGCCAGAGAGGCUGUGGACUUGGAAAGCCUUAAGCUGUGAGGUUUAGAAGUGAGCUCCAUCCACACGGCUGCGGCAGCGCAGUGCCUGAGCUCCACGUGCCCAGGUACUGUGCAUAAAGAGCUAAUCCUGCCGCCACAGCCCACAUACAUUAAUCUCCAAGCAGGACUGAGAUAAGGAGGUCACGGAGCCCAGACUGAAUUAAGUUGGAACUCUCAGCCCAGCUACCAACGCUGUCAGUGCGUUAGUUUGACUGAACUAGGAUUUAUUUCCAAGCUUCCCUGUACCUAUAUUGCUUGCUUUGUCUGCUGAAAUCGGUGCGGUUACCGAGCACCUGAAUAUCUGACACAGAUCUCUGGUCAAACGUCAGCCUUUAAAGCACGGGUUCAUCCCUGGAAGGCCAAGUUUCCCACGGAAAGCUGCCCUCCAGGAAGGGCAGGGACAGACAGAGGUAAAUGAAGACGACCUUGAAGCACAUUGCUGGAAGAGCUGACAGGCCUCCCAUGGAGGGAAUAAUGCGGCUGAAUUGCAGUCUCACUGCUAACGGUGGUUGUUGCUAUGGUGAUUGAUACCGAAAAGCCCAUAUAGAUGAAGGCUGCAGAAGGAAUAAGUAAUUCCUGAUAUUGUUCAAAUCACUAAUGGAGCUAAGGAGCCAUUUCAUGCACUCCUGCAAAUUAAGAUUUGCAUGCACUCGCUGCCUUCGCCACACUGCUCCCCUCAAACACCAAGGAGUUAUUUUCCCCUUCACCAUGAUGGUAUUUGUGUAGUAUUGCUUCAUUACAAGGGAGCAGCCAAAUGCCAAAGCUCCUGCUGACACAUAACCAGUGGUUCAGAAAUGUAUUUACUGUUACAGAAUAUAUAUUUCUGGACAAUCGUAUCUUCAUUCAAAGUGCUUUUCUGAAAGUAGAAUUAAUUAUGAGUUCAUAAUUUAUGAAUAGAAGCAGCUUAUGUAAAAAAGAUUUGCAUGCUCUGAACUUCCCCCAUUUACAAUGUCAUUUGGGUGCAACGAGGCUGCAGAACUCAUUCCUUCAGUCUCCUCAAUUUCACUCCCUACUGGGAAAGCGCGAGGAAGUUUAUCACAGGUUUUUCUGGUUAAAUGACAUCACAGUAAGAAGUGACAUCACCAGUAAGAGUCUGGUGUAGAGGAUUUAGGGGCAAAAUAAAACCGCUUAGGGAAAAAAAGGGAUGGUCAGAAUACCAAAGGUAUUGAGCAAAGGUAACCUUUGCUCAAAUCACAGCCACCCCACAGGGAUCUUGUGAGGAUAAAGACCUAUCAUUACUCCUUUAUAUUCUGAUUGAGAUGCAGUCAGCUGAAUCUGAAUGGAGAUGUUUUGUACUUGCCAAAUUUAAAUGGAAAAAAAUAAA